rnacentral:rRNA from 1 species
UACGUAGGGGGCUAGCGUUGUCCGGAAUUAUUGGGCGUAAAGCGCGCGCAGGCGGCUUUGUAAGUCUGUCGUUUAAGUUCGGGGCUCAACCCCGUAUCGCGAUGGAAACUGCAAGGCUUGAGUACAGAAGAGGAAAGUGGAAUACUCGGUGUAGAGGUGAAAUUCGUAGAUAUCUGGAGGAACACCGGUGGCGAAGGCGGCGUCCUGGACCAACACUGACACUGAUGAGCGAAAGCCAGGGGAGCAAACGGG